CCUACACAUGCAGUCGAGCGCACCUUCGGGUGAGCGGCGGACGGGUUAGUAACGCGUGGGAACGUGCCCAGAUCUGCGGAAUAGCCACUGGAAACGGUGAGUAAUACCGCAUACGCCCUUCGGGGGAAAGAUUUAUCGGAUUUGGAUCGGCCCGCGUUAGAUUAGGUAGUUGGUGGGGUAACGGCCUACCAAGCCUACGAUCUAUAGCUGGUUUUAGAGGAUGAUCAGCAACACUGGGACUGAGACACGGCCCAGACUCCUACGGGAGGCAGCAGUGGGGAAUCUUAGACAAUGGGGGCAACCCUGAUCUAGCCAUGCCGCGUGAGUGAUGAAGGCCUUAGGGUCGUAAAGCUCUUUCGCCAGGGAUGAUAAUGACAGUACCUGGUAAAGAAACCCCGGCUAACUCCGUGCCAGCAGCCGCGGUAAUACGGAGGGGGUUAGCGUUGUUCGGAAUUACUGGGCGUAAAGCGCGCGUAGGCGGACCAGAAAGUUAGGGGUGAAAUCCCGGGGCUCAACCCCGGAACUGCCUCUAAAACUCCUGGUCUAGAGUUCGAGAGAGGUGAGUGGAAUUCCGAGUGUAGAGGUGAAAUUCGUAGAUAUUCGGAGGAACACCAGUGGCGAAGGCGGCUCANUGGCUCGAUACUGACNCUGAGGUGCGAAAGUGUGGGGAGCAA
rnacentral:rRNA from 1 species